rnacentral:rRNA from 1 species
CAGUCGCCGCGGUAAUACGAAGGGGGCUAGCGUUAUUCGGAUUUACUGGGCGUAAAGGGCGCGUAGGCGGACUGAUAAGUCGGGGGUGAAAUCCCAAGGCUCAACCUUGGAACUGCCUUUGACACUGUUUGUCUUGAGUUCGAGAGAGGUAAGUGGAACUGCGAGUGUAGAGGUGAAAUUCGUAGAUAUUCGCAAGAACACCAGUGGCGAAGGCGGCUUACUGGCUCGAAACUGACGCUGAGGCGCGAAAGCGUGGGGAGCAAACAGGAUUAGAUACCCCCGUAGUCCCUGUCUCUUAUAC